CAAAUACUCCCUCCGUCCNNNUGUCAUCAAAAUGGAUAAAAGGAAAUGUAUCUAGAUGUAUUUUAGUUUUAGAUACAUCUCUUUUUAUCCAUUUUGAUGACAAGUAUUUUCGGACGGAGGGAGUAGAAA
rnacentral:pre_miRNA from 1 species